rnacentral:rRNA from 1 species
GUGGGGAAUCUUGCGCAAUGGGCGAAAGCCUGACGCAGCCAUGCCGCGUGAAUGAUGAAGGUCUUAGGAUUGUAAAAUUCUUUCACCGGGGACGAUAAUGACGGUACCCGGAGAAGAAGCUCCGGCUAACUUCGUGCCAGUAGCCGCGGUAAUACGAAGGGGGCUAGCGUUGCUCGGAAUUACUGGGCGUAAAGGGCGCGUAGGCGGACAGCUUAGUCAGAGGUGAAAGCCCAGGGCUCAACCUUGGAAUUGCCUUUGAUACUGGCUGUCUUGAGUUUGGGAGAGGUGAGUGGAACUCCGAGUGUAGAGGUGAAAUUCGUAGAUAUUCGGAAGAACACCAGUGGCGAAGGCGACUCACUGGCCCAAUACUGACGCUGAGGCGCGAAAGCGUGGGGAGCAAACAGGAUUAGAAACCCGAGUAGUCC